rnacentral:rRNA from 1 species
UACGUAGGGUGCGAGCGUUGUCCGGAAUUAUUGGGCGUAAAGGGCUCGUAGGCGGUUUGUCGCGUCGGGAGUGAAAUCACUGGGCUUAACCGAGUGCUUGCUUUCGAUACGGGCAGACUUGAGGCAUUGAGGGGAGAACGGAAUUCCUGGUGUAGCGGUGAAAUGCGCAGAUAUCAGGAGGAACACCGGUGGCGAAGGCGGUUCUCUGGCAAUGUUCUGACGCUGAGGAGCGAAAGUGUGGGAGCGAACAGG